UAAGCAGUUUGUCAUGUACUACUAGCUGAAACCUUUCAAAUGAAAUAGAACUUACCGAGUUUUUUAAAAUAAUUAAUUAUACGAUGAUUAAAUAAUAUUAAAAUUUGUGGCUACUAUAGGUCUCACAUGAUUAUGCUGAUGGAGUGCAUCAUAUCCAUAAAUUGUUAUUUCAUUUUGAAGUUUUUCUAGAGAUUUAGAAAAUUUACCAUAUGAUUAUAUUAAUGGAGUUCAUCAUAUCUAUAAACUGUUAUUUCUUAUCUCUUAGACCUUUUGAUAUGUUUAUGCUUCAAAAUAUUCUUAAUUUUAGGUCUCUUCUGAUUUAAAAUUAGUUUCUUUUAUAAUAUCUUAAAGACAGAUAAACAUUUGACGUUUCAACUUCUUUUAGUCUUUAUUUUGAGGUUUUUGUUUUGAAUUUACUAAUGAAAAAGGUUUAGUUUGAAUGAAAAAAACACAUCGAUUAAUUUGAAAACUUUAUUUAUAUAAAAGGAAAAAAAAUAAAAUUAUAAAUACAGAUUAAUCAGUUGUUACUACAGUAUUACAAAAUGUAUUAAAAUAAAAUAACUACAAAAUUAGAAA